rnacentral:rRNA from 1 species
UACGGGGGGGGCAAGCGUUGUUCGGAAUUACUGGGCGUAAAGGGCUCGUAGGUGGCCAACUAAGUCAGACGUGAAAUCCCUCGGCUUAACCGGGGAACUGCGUCUGAUACUGGAUGGCUAGAGAUUGGGAGAGGGAUGCGGAAUUCCAGGUGUAGCGGUGAAAUGCGUAGAUAUCUGGAGGAACACCGGUGGCGAAGGCGGCAUCCUGGGCCAACACUGACGCUGAGGAGCGAAAGCCAGGGGAGCAAACGGG